AACGAACGCUGGCGGCGUGCCUCAUACAUGCAAGUCGAACGCGAGGCUCCCCGCAAGGGGAGUAGUAGAGUGGCAAACGGGUGCGUAACACGUAGGUAAUCUGCCUUCGAGUUGGGGAUAAACCCUCGAAAGGGGGUCUAAUACCGAAUAACAUUUCGGGCCGGCAUCGGCUUAGAAAUUAAAGAUGGCCUCUGCUUGCAAGCUAUCACUCGAAGAUGAGCCUGCGUCCGAUUAGUUAGUUGGCGGGAUAAAAGCCCACCAAGACUCCGAUCGGUAGCCGGCCUGAGAGGGUGUCCGGCCACACUGGGACUGAGAUACGGCCCAGACUCCUACGGGAGGCAGCAGUAGGGAAUAUUGC
rnacentral:rRNA from 1 species